GAUGAACGCUGGCGGUGUGCCUAAUACAUGCAAGUCGUACGCAUUCUCGUUUCUGAUUGACAGUGCUUGCACCUAAUUGACGAGACAUUGGAAUGAGUGGCGGACGGGUGAGUAACACGUGGGUAACCUGCCCAGAAGCGGGGGAUAACAUUUGGAAACAGAUGCUAAUACCGCAUAAAAGUCAAAACCACAUGGUUUUGAUUUAAAAGAUGGCCUUUGUGCUAUCACUUCUGGAUGGACCCGCGGCGUAUUAGCUAGUUGGUAAGGUAAUGGCUUACCAAUGCAAUGAUACGUAGCCGAACUGAGAGGUUGAUCGGCCACAAUGGGACUGAGACACGGCCCAUACUCCUACGGGAGGCAGCAGUAGGGAAUCUUCCACAAUGGGCGCAAGCCUGAUGGAGCAACACCGCGUGAGUGAAGAAGGGUUUCGGCUCGUAAAACUCUGUUGUUAAAGAAGAACGUAUCUAAGAGUAACUGCUUAGGUAGUGACGGUAUUUAACCAGAAAGCCACGGCUAACUACGUGCCAGCAGCCGCAGUAA
rnacentral:rRNA from 1 species